UUCAGGAUGAAGAAGUUUUUAGUAAUUGCUCUGUUGGUAAUGUUAGCUGUCAGUGUGGCCUUUGUCAUGCCUGUGCCUAGUGAAUCUGACAUGGGAGGAAGACAAAUGUAUAAACGACGCAAGAUGGCUUGCAGAACAAAUCUUGACUGCAGGCCGGGCAUGUAUUGCGAAUCUUCGUGGUAUGGAGGCGGCUCUUGCAAAGGGCGUUAACCUAGCCAAAAAAGUACCACAAAGAUGAUUCCAAUGCAUGGUUUAAUAAAAUAAUAAAUAAAGU